GGAGGGGUCUCGAUGUCGGCUCGAUGCUUGUGCAGAGAGGCCCUUCCAUCCUUCAGUUAACGUUUCACGGUAUUAACUUACUGGUUUCGGGCUCUGAUAUUUUACCUUGAGAAAAUUAGAGUGUUUCAGGCAGGCUUGCGCCCGAAUACAUUAGCAUGGAAUAAUAGAAUAGGACUUUAGUCUCCUUUGUUGGUUUGAGGGACUGGAGUA
rnacentral:rRNA from 1 species